rnacentral:rRNA from 1 species
AUACAGAGGGUGCGAGCGUUAAUCGGAAUUACUGGGCGUAAAGCGCGCGUAGGCGGUCUAUUAAGUCAGAUGUGAAAUCCCAGGGCUCAACCUUGGAACUGCAUCUGAUACUGGUAGACUAGAGUUUUGGAGAGGGAAGUUGAAUUUCAGGUGUAGCGGUGAAAUGCAUAGAGAUCUGAAGGAAUACCAGUGGCGAAGGCGACUUCCUGGCCAAAAACUGACGCUGAGGUGCGAAAGCGUGGGUAGCAAACGGGAUUAGAAACCCUAGUAGUCC